CAACCUCAACCUUCUCGGUUUCUUCUGGACGCCGAAGGAGGCUUGGACUUUGGAGGCCUUUUGCUGGCGUCUCUCACGCCAGCUCCUCUUAAAUGUAUUAGCGGGGUCCUCUUUGCCGAUCCUCGACGUGUGAUAAGAUGUUUUCCAUGUCUUGGUUUCUGGCUCUGUCGCUUUUGGGACCCGCUUCUAACCGUCUUGACCUCGCGUCGAGACAACGUUUGGGUGCGUCUCCCUUCUCGGGAAACGCUCUCGACCACGUGAACC
rnacentral:misc_RNA from 1 species